ACAUCGGUGGUUUAGUGGUAGAAUUCUCACCUUCCAUGCAGGAGAUUCAGGUUUGAUUCCUGGCCCAUGUA
rnacentral:tRNA from 1 species